UACGAAGGGGGCUAGCGUUGUUCGGAAUUACUGGGCGUAAAGCGCGCGCAGGCGGUUCUUCAAGUCAGAGGUGAAAGCCCAGAGCUCAACUCUGGAAUGGCCUUUGAGACUAGAGAACUAGGGUACGGGAGAGGUGAGUGGAAUUCCGAGUGUAGAGGUGAAAUUCGUAGAUAUUCGGAAGAACACCAGUGGCGAAGGCGGCUCACUGGCCCGUUACCGACGCUCAGGCGCGACAGCGUGGGGAGGCAAACAGG
rnacentral:rRNA from 1 species